rnacentral:rRNA from 1 species
CUACGGGUUGCAGCAGUGAGGAAUAUUGCACAAUGGGGGGAACCCUGAUGCAGCAACGCCGCGUGGAGGAUGACGCAUUUCGGUGUGUAAACUCCUUUUAUAUGUCAAGAAAAUGACGGUAGCAUAUGAAUAAGCACCGGCUAACUCCGUGCCAGCAGCCGCGGUAAUACGGAGGGUGUAAGCGUUACUCGGAAUCACUGGGCGUAAAGGACGCGUAGGCGGGUUGGAAAGUCAGGUGUGAAAUCCUACAGCUUAACUGUAGAACUGCACUUGAAACUUCUAAUCUAGAGUAUGGGAGGGGGAGAUGGAAUUAGUGGUGUAGGGGUAAAAUCCGUAGAUAUCACUAGGAAUACCUAAAGCGAAGGCGAUCUCCUGGAACAUUACUGACGCUAAGGCGUGAAAGCGUGGGGAGCAAACAGGAUUAGAUACCCGAGUAGUC